UACGGAGGAGGCAAGCGUUGUUCGGAAUCACUGGGCUUAAAGGGCGUGUAGGCGGGAUGCAAGGUGCUUUGUGAAAGCCCCCGGCUCAACCGGGGAAUUGCUUGGCAAACCAGCAUCCUUGAGGCAGGUAGAGGCGGCCGGAACGUUCGGUGGAGAGGUGAAAUUCGUAGAUAUCGAACGGAACGCCGGUGGCGAAAGCGGGUCGCUGGGCCUGUCCUGACGCUGAGACGCGAAAGCGUAGGGAGCGAACGGG
rnacentral:rRNA from 1 species